CCCCGCCCCCCGCGCACCCCAACGGCCCCGGGCGACGGUUGGGGCCGGCCGGCGUGCGCCCUCACCUUGGUUCACCAGCCGCAGAGCGUGCGUGAAGGAGGGGUCCAGGGAGUCCUUCUCCGCCAUCAGCUCCGGCAGGGUAUUUUCAUUUCUGAGAAGUCAAGACCACAGGCUUAACUUCUAUAAGCCUCAGUUUCCUUAAUUAUUUCCUGAACUACAGAGUGGAAUAGAACAUUACACUCCAAAGAAAUGAUGCCACCUCUGCUGAAGAAGCUGUCAGGUUUUAAUGGCAUGAGGACAAUUUACUUCAAGUCAGGUCCAAGUAGCUGCUCGAUGCUGGAGAAGUUGCUUCCAAGCAGAUCUUUAAAAAUUGGCUGAGGAUCUGGGGCUGCGUGCAGAGCAGUUAACUCACUGAGUAGUUUCUGCAAGACGUCAAGUUGGCUCUCGUAACAGGCCCCUCGAAUUAGCCCAAGAGCCCUUAUGACAAACACGGCUCUGAUUAAAAGAUUAAUGUGGUCGUA